CACGUAGGGGGCAAGCGUUGUCCGGAUUUAUUGGGCGUAAAGAGCUCGUAGGUGGUUCGGUAAGUCAGGUGUGAAACCUCCAGGCUCAACCUGGGGACGCCACUUGAUACUGCUGUGCUUGGAGUCCGGUAGGGGAGCGUGGAAUUCCUGGUGUAGCGGUGAAAUGCGCAGAUAUCAGGAGGAACACCAGCGGCGAAGGCGCCUCCCUGGGCCGAAACUGACGCUGAGGAGCGAAAGCGUGGGGAGCGAACAGG
rnacentral:rRNA from 1 species